rnacentral:hammerhead_ribozyme from 1 species
GCAUUGCUGAGGAGUUCAACAAUAAGACGAAACAAUCGUCCAUUGC